rnacentral:tRNA from 1 species
GGGGAUAUAGCCUACAUUGGUAGGGUGCUUGCCUCACAUGUAUAAGGCCCUGGGUUCAAUCCCCAGCACUACCA